rnacentral:sRNA from 1 species
GGAAAGAACAAACAGUCUGGACACAGAAAGGAAGAGUUUGUCUCUUGGAGGUUCUGGACCUGCCUGCUGCUCUUCUUCCUGAGGCCCUGGGGUCCUAACGGUAACCUACUUCUCCUGCCAUGUUUGAUUUCCUUGGCAAUCUAAGCAGCAAAGAACAGGAGUCCAGAGUCUCGUGUCUCUGUCACUCUGCCAGCCUAGGUGUCAUGGAUGAGGCUGGAAAAGACUGGAGGGUUGGGAUAGAAGUGGGUUCCUGGCAGUCUCGGCUCCUAGGCCAUCGAUUGAUUUCCGCUUACUGCUGUCUCAGCACCUUCUGCUACUUCCCGACUGGUAUAUGAGCCAGCGCUGCACUCAGUCUUGGCACCAGGGAACUGAACUGGGGCAAAGGGGUGGGGAAGAGGGUGGAGAUGCCCCCGGAGGUCUGAAGAGGGUGGGUCUCAGGGAAGGAGUCUGCAGUGGACAGGAGGAGACAGGUCGGCAGUGGAAGGGUCUGUGCAAAACUGUCCUGUUGUCUUAGAACCCCCUACUCACUGUCUGGUUGGCUGAUGGGAGAGUGCCGUGGUGGGCUUGGAGACACAGUUAGGACUAGGGCUCUGUCGUAAGCUCCUCAGGGGUUUGACAAGCUUGCUGUCCUUCCCACUUCCCCUGUUCUCACACUUCUUGGCAACACAGGCACUGUCUCUUAGCGACAGGGUUUUGGGGGAGCCAUGGCCCCCACCAUGCUGCCUGUGGGAUGCAUGCACAGCACCCUCCCCCAGCAGAGUCACCAAGCCUCAGGCAGCAGCAGACAGGGGUACGCCGGCCCGAGUUCAUGGCUGGACAGCCAUUCUCUCUGUGCCUGUCCAGACCUCAGGGUGAAGCUAUCUGAUCCAUGCCAUGCUUCCUGAACGCCUGAGAAUGGACCAGCUGGCCGGGCUGCCUACAGAGAGCACAGCUGCUGUUAGCAUCGCCUCGGGUCCAGUACACCCACAUCGCUACAAGCGUGCAGGAUCAGACAGUGAUCGUUUCUGCCUAGGUGUAUUCGAGCAAAGAGGAACUGAAGGAGGAGAAGGAACAAGGAGGCUCCGGGUCAGGAGCAGCAGCAGCACUGAGCUAGGUGGACUGGGUGCUACGUAGGCCUCGGGUUGGCCGUUUCACAAUACACUAACUCUCCCUCGCUUUAGUCAGUGGUGGUGCCUACAUCCAGACGAAAUGAAGGGGGCUAACGAAGGUCAGGCAGAAGGGGGCAUAUUCAUACUCCUGAUUUACAUCCUCAUCCGCGUCUCUGAGGAGGCUGUGUUCUGCUUUCGGGAAGUGAUUCCCGGUAUACUUGUAAUAUCCCAGAGAAUAUACCUAGCUAUGGGCCACCGUGACCUCCUGUACUCCAUUUCGGCCCCCAGAUUUCUAUGGCAAAGACCAGUCAGACCCUAAAUAGCAUGGCUGCAAUAGUUAAAGAUUUAUCCCUUGUAA